CAUGCAAGUCGAACGGGGAUAUAUCCUUCGGGAUAUAAGCCGAGUGGCACAAGGGUGAGCAAUGCAUAGAUUACCUACCUUUAGGAUAAGGACAACUUUGUGAAAACGGAGCUAAUACUUAAUAAUACAAAUGAAAGUAAUUUUCUUUUGUCAAAGGGAGGGUAGCAAUACCUUUCGCCUAGAGAGGGGUUUAUGUCCUAUCAGCUUGUUGGUGGGGUAAUAGCCUACCAAGGCGAAGACGGGUAGCCGGUUUAAGAGGAUGGUCGGCCACACUGGGACUGAGACACUGCCCAGACUUCUACGGAAGGCUGCAGUCGAGAAUCUUUCGCAAUGCCCGAAAGGGUGACGAAGCGACGCCGCGUGGGUGAAGAAGGCCUUCGGGUUGUAAAACCCUGUCAGGAGUUAUGAAAUGUAAGUGCGCUAAUAUCGUGCUUAUUUGACAAAGGCUCCAAAGGAAGCCACGGCUAACUCUGUGCCAGCAGCCGCGGUAAUACAGAGGUGGCGAGCGUUGUUCGGAAUUAUUGGGCGUAAAGAGCACGUAGGUGGGUUUGCAAGUCAGAUGUGAAAGCCUUCUGUUCAACGGGAGAAUUGCAUCUGAAACUGCUAAUCUUGAGUAUAGGAGGGGAGAAUGGAACUUCUGGUGGAGCGGUGAAAUGCGUAGAUAUCAGAAGGAACGCCGGCGGCGAAAGCGAUUCUCUGGCCUAUUACUGACACUCAGUGUGCGAAAGCUAGGGGAGCAAACGGGAUUAGAUACCCCGGUAGUCCUAGCCGUAAACGAUGGGCACUAAGUAGAGGGGAUUACCUAUGUUCUCUCUGCCGUAGCUAACGCAUUAAGUGCCCCGCCUGGGGAGUACGGCCGCAAGGCUAAAACUCAAAAGAAUUGACGGGGGCUCGCACAAGCGGUGGAGCAUGUGGCUUAAUUCGAUGCAACGCGAAAAACCUUACCGGGGUUUGACAUGAUAGAAGUAGGAACCUGAAAGGGGGACGAACGGUAUCCAGUCCGUAGCUAUUACAGGUGUUGCAUGGCUGUCGUCAGCUCGUGUCGUGAGACGUUGGGUUAAGUCCCCUAACGAGCGAAACCCUUGUUUUUAGUUACCAGCGGGUUAUGCCGGGUACUCUAGAAAGACUGCCGUCGUCAAGACGGAGGAAGGUGGGGAUGACGUCAAGUCAUCAUGGCCCUUAUGCCCCGGGCUGCACACGUGCUACAAUGGUCGGUACAGACGGAAGCGAAGCCGAGAGGUGAAGCGAAUCCUAAAAAGCCGAUCUCAGUUCGGAUUGGAGGCUGAAAUUCGCCUCCAUGAAGUUGGAAUCGCUAGUAAUCGCGGAUCAGCAAUGUCGCGGUGAAUAUGUUCCCGAGCCUUGUACACACCGCCCGUCAAGCCACCCAAGCAGGAUGCACUCGAAAACAUUAUAUCUAACCAGGGCAACUUGGAGGAAAAUGUUGAAGGAGUGUUUUGUGAGGAGGACUAAGUCGUAACAAGGUAGUCGUAGGAGAACCUGCGGCUGGAUCACCUCCUUUCU
rnacentral:rRNA from 1 species